rnacentral:rRNA from 1 species
GAUGAAGAACGCAGCGAAAUGCGAUAAGUAAUGUGAAUUGCAGAAUUCAGUGAAUCAUCGAAUCUUUGAACGCACCUUGCGCUCCUUGGUAUUCCGAGGAGCAUGCCUGUUUGAGUGUCAUUAAAUUCUCAACCUCACCAGUUUUCUGAACUGCGUCG